UACGUAGGGGGCAAGCGUUGUCCGGAAUCAUUGGGCGUAAAGAGCGUGUAGGCGGCCCGAUAAGUCCGCUGUGAAAGUCCAGGGCUCAACCCUGGGAUGCCGGUGGAUACUGUCGGGCUCGAGUCCGGAAGAGGAGUGUGGAAUUCCGUGGUGUAGCGGUGAAAUGCGCAGAUAUCAGGAGGAACACCAGUGGCGAAGGCAGCUUGCUACAGGGAUAUUGACACUGAGGCACGAAAGCGUGGGGAUCAAACAGG
rnacentral:rRNA from 1 species